rnacentral:misc_RNA from 1 species
CACAAUCCAGAACAGUGACAUCAGUGCACAACCACCAUCAAGCCCAUCGAUAUCCCAAAAACCAGAUAUCCGCUAAUCCCAGAUAAAAUUAAAAAAAAAAAAAAACCUAAUUCUAUCAGAGUAGAGAUGUGAGUGGAGGAUGCAGUUCUAAUUUUUCCUGGAAAAUUUCAGGAAGAAUAUUGAAAAUCGGAAUAAAUAUGUAUAAGAUAAGGUUUUCGUGCAGUGUUGAAUCAGAGUGGCCUUCGAAUUUCGAU